UUCGAACAAAUGAUUUAUUUUAAAUAGACGGCAGCAUUUUAUUUUCGCACUUAUUCAUUUGUUAGUCCCAUUUUCGAAACGGUUCAAAAUUUAUAGGCCAUUUUUUAUAUAAAUUGUACGCGUCCGUCGAUCUCUUCUUUCGACACCUACCGGGGAACAAUCGAGACGAUUUGACUUUUUGCUUUGCGAUGGCAAACUAUUUUCUUUCUCGAUGCGUAGCCACUCGUCCGAAAAGCGUCGGGUUCAGUGUUUUCCGAAACUGCCAAUUUUCUUUUUGUUUGUGUGGCAUCUGAAAUUGAAGAAGGAAAAGAAAAAAUCGUUUCAUAAAAUAAAACACUUGCCUUCCGCUUUUGUGACAAAGGAGCUGGGAUUUCGGAUUCAUUCAGCUAAGGCCUCAGCCCGGAGAAAAUCCGAGACCCGUCGUGGCGAACGUCUUCCUCUCGGUGGGCCAUGCUGCACCAGCAGUAACACCACAUGUAACGAAUGAAUUUAAUGGAGGAAGAGUUGUCAAGCACAUUUUAAAAUACAAUAAAUUCUAAUUACACAUCC